rnacentral:rRNA from 1 species
UGGGGAAUAUUGGACAAUGGGCGGAAGCCUGAUCCAGCAACGCCGCGUGAGGGAUGACGGCCUUCGGGUUGUAAACCUCUUUCAGCACAGACGAAGCGCAAGUGACGGUAUGUGCAGAAGAAGGACCGGCCAACUACGUGCCAGCAGCCGCGGUAAUACGUAGGGUCCGAGCGUUGUCCGGAAUUAUUGGGCGUAAAGGGCUCGUAGGCGGUCUGUUGCGUCGGGAGUGAAAUCCCUGGGCUUAACCCAGGGCCUGCUUCCGAUACGGGCAGACUAGAGGCAUUCAGGGGAGAACGGAAUUCCUGGUGUAGCGGUGAAAUGCGCAGAUAUCAGGAGGAACACCGGUGGCGAAGGCGGUUCUCUGGGAAUGUUCUGACGCUGAGGAGCGAAAGUGUGGGGAGCGAACA